UACGAAGGUCCCGAGCGUUAUCCGGAUUUAUUGGGUUUAAAGGGUGCGUAGGCUGCGAGGAGGGUGGGGUGUGAAAUCCCUCGGCCUAACCGAGGAAUUGCGCUCCAAACCGCCUUGCUGGAGUGAGACAGAGGUGAGCGGAACUAAUGGUGGAGCGGUGAAAUGCGUUGAUAUCAUUAGGAACACCAGAGGCGAAGGCGGCUCACUGGGUCUCGAACUGACGCUGAUGCACGAAAGCUAGGGUAGCGAACGGG
rnacentral:rRNA from 1 species